rnacentral:rRNA from 1 species
AGCGAUCGCUGGCGGCAGGCCUAACACAUGCAAGUCGAACGAACCUUUCGGGGUUAGUGGCGGACGGGUGAGUAACACGUGGGAACGUGCCUUUAGGUUCGGAAUAACUCAGGGAAACUUGUGCUAAUACCGAAUGUGCCCUUCGGGGGAAAGAUUAAUCGCCUUUAGAGCGGCCCGCGUCUGAUUAGCUAGUUGGUUGAGGUAAUGGCUCACCAAGGCGACGAUCAGUAGUUGGUCUGAGAGGAUGAUCAGCCACAUUGGGACUGAGACACGGCCCAAACUCCUACGGGAGGCAGCAGUGGGGAAUCUUGCGCAAUGGGCGAAAGCCUGACGCAGCCAUGCCGCGUGAAUGAUGAAGGUCUUAGGAUUGUAAAAUUCUUUCACCGGGGACGAUAAUGACGGUACCCGGAGAAGAAGCCCCGGCUAACUUCGUG